CCUACGGGCGGCAGCAGUGGGGAAUAUUGGGCAAUGGAGGAAACUCUGACCCAGCAACGCCGCGUGAAUGAUGAAGGUCUUCGGAUUGUAAAGUUCUUUUCUAAGGGAAGAAGAAAGUGACGGUACCUUCGAAAUAAGCCUCGGCUAACUACGUGCCAGCAGCCGCGGUAAUACGUAGGAGGCAAGCGUUAUCCGGAAUGACUGGGCGGAAGGGGUGCGUAGGUGGUUGGACAAGUUGGUAGCGUAACUCCGGGGCUCAACCUCGGCACUACUACCAAAACUGUCGGACUUGAGUGCAGGAGGGGCAAAUGGAAUUCCUGGUGUAGCGGUGGAAUGCGUAGAUAGUAGGAGGAACACCAGUGGCGAAGGCGAUUUGCUGGACUGUAACUGACACUGAGGCACGAAAGCGUGGGGAGCAAACAGGAUUAGAUACCCGAGUAGUC
rnacentral:rRNA from 1 species